rnacentral:rRNA from 1 species
GACAGAGGGUGCAAACGUUGCUCGGAAUCAUUGGGCGUAAAGCGCACGUAGGCGGCCUCGCAAGUCUGAUGUGAAAUCCCUCGGCUCAACCGAGGACGUGCAUCGGAAACUGCGGGGCUUGAGUACUGAAGAGGAUCGCGGAAUUCCCGGUGUAGAGGUGAAAUUCGUAGAUAUCGGGAGGAACACCAGUGGCGAAGGCGGCGAUCUGGGCAGAUACUGACGCUGAGGUGCGAAAGCGUGGGGAGCAAACAGG